rnacentral:rRNA from 2 species
UCAGAUUGAACGCUGGCGGCAGGCUUAACACAUGCAAGUCGAGCGGAAACGAUGGGAGCUUGCUCCCAGGCGUCGAGCGGCGGACGGGUGAGUAACACUUAGGAAUCUACCUAGUAGUGGGGGAUAGCUCGGGGAAACUCGAAUUAAUACCGCAUACGACCUACGGGAGAAAGGGGGCAGUUUACUGCUCUCGCUAUUAGAUGAGCCUAAGUCGGAUUAGCUAGAUGGUGGGGUAAAGGCCUACCAUGGCGACGAUCUGUAGCUGGUCUGAGAGGAUGAUCAGCCACACCGGGACUGAGACACGGCCCGGACUCCUACGGGAGGCAGCAGUGGGGAAUAUUGGACAAUGGGGGGAACCCUGAUCCAGCCAUGCCGCGUGUGUGAAGAAGGCCUUUUGGUUGUAAAGCACUUUAAGCAGUGAAGAAGACCUAACGGUUAAUACCCGUUAGCGAUGACAUUAGCUGCAGAAUAAGCACCGGCUAACUCUGUGCCAGCAGCCGCGGUAAUACAGAGGGUGCAAGCGUUAAUCGGAAUUACUGGGCGUAAAGCGAGCGUAGGUGGCUUGAUAAGUCAGAUGUGAAAUCCCCGGGCUUAACCUGGGAACUGCAUCUGAUACUGUUAAGCUAGAGUAGGUGAGAGGGAAGUAGAAUUCCAGGUGUAGCGGUGAAAUGCGUAGAGAUCUGGAGGAAUACCGAUGGCGAAGGCAGCUUCCUGGCAUCAUACUGACACUGAGGCUCGAAAGCGUGGGUAGCAAACAGGAUUAGAUACCCUGGUAGUCCACGCCGUAAACGAUGUCUACUAGUCGUUGGGUCCCUUGAGGACUUAGUGACGCAGCUAACGCAAUAAGUAGACCGCC